rnacentral:rRNA from 1 species
CUUGCCCUGUCUCUAGUGGCGAACGGUCGAGUAACACGUAGACAACCUGCCUCGAGGUGGGGGAUAACAGCGGGAAACUGCUGCUAAUACCGCAUGUGGCGAGGGGAGGCAUCUCUCCUUUGCUAAAGGCGCAAGUCGCCUGGAGAUGGGUCUGCGGCCUAUCAGCUAGUUGGUGGGGUAACGGCCCACCAAGGCAGCGACGGGUAGCGGGUCUGAGAGGAUGAUCCGCCGGACGGGGACUGAGACACGGCCCCGACUCCUUCGGGAGGCAGCAAUGAGGAAUAUUGCACAAUGGGGGAAACCCUGAUGCAGCGACGCCGCGUGGGUGAGGAAGUCCUUCGGGAUGUAAAGCCCUUUUGUGGGGGACGAUACCAGACGGUACCCCACGAAUAAGCCCCGGCUAA